rnacentral:tRNA from 7 species
GCCUCGAUAGCUCAGUGGUAGAGCACUUCCUUGGUAAGGAAGAGGUCGCGAGUCCGAUUCUCGCUCGAGGCU